rnacentral:rRNA from 1 species
AUUGAACGCUGGCGGCAGGCCUAACACAUGCAAGUUCGAGCGGUAACAGGGGAAGCUUGCUUCUCGCUGACGAGCGGCGGACGGGUGAGUAAUGUAUGGGGAUCUGCCCGAUAGAGGGGGAUAACCACUGGAAACGGUGGCUAAUACCGCAUAAUCUCUUAGGAGCAAAGCAGGGGAACUUCGGUCCUUGCGCUAUCGGAUGAACCCAUAUGGGAUUAGCUAGUAGGUGGGGUAAUGGCUCACCUAGGCGACGAUCCCUAGCUGGUCUGAGAGGAUGAUCA